rnacentral:rRNA from 1 species
GACAGAGGCCUCGAGCGUUAGGCGGAAUCACUGGGCUUAAAGCGUGUGUAGGCGGAUCGUUAAGUGCCUUGUGAAAUCCCACGGCUUAACUGUGGAACGGCUGGGCAUACUGGCGGUCUUGAGCCAUCUAGGGGCGACUGGAACAAACGGUGGAGCGGUGAAAUGCGUAGAUAUCGUUUGGAACGCCAAUGGUGAAAACAGGUCGCUGGGGAUGAGCUGACGCUGAGACACGAAAGCCAGGGGAGCAAACGGG